rnacentral:rRNA from 1 species
GUCCACCCCGUAAACGUUGGGAACUAGUUGUGGGGACCAUUCCACGGUUUCCGUGACGCAGCUAACGCAUUAAGUUCCCCGCCUGGGGAGUACGGCCGCAAGGCUAAAACUCAAAGGAAUUGACGGGGACCCGCACAAGCGGCGGAGCAUGCGGAUUAAUUCGAUGCAACGCGAAGAACCUUACCAAGGCUUGACAUAUACGAGAACGGGCCAGAAAUGGUCAACUCUUUGGACACUCGUAAACAGGUGGUGCAUGGUU